GGUACGGUGCGCCUGACCCACGGUCGCAAGGCCGCGAGUGUCGGUGUGCGCCUGCCAUCUUUCUGGUCAACCUGCUGCUCUUCACCGGGUGGCAGGCGAUCCAGUUCUUUUACUUUGAAAAAAUUAGAGUGUUUAAAGCAGGCUUGCGCUAUGAAUACAUUAGCAUGGAAUAAUAAUUUAGGACUUUAUUCCUAUUUUAUUGGUUUCUAGGAGUAAAGUA
rnacentral:rRNA from 1 species